CCCGGCAUCCGCGGCUGGGGCCGAGCCGGGUGCGGGGCCGAGCCGGGUGCGGUGCCGAGCCGGGUGCGGUGCCGAGCCGGGUGCGGGGCCGAGCUCGGUGCGGGGCCGAGCUCAGUGCGGGGCCGAGCCGGGUGCGGGGCCGAGCCGGGUGCGGGGCCGAGCCGGGUGCGGGGCCGAGCCGGGUGCGGUGCCGAGCCGGGUGCGGUGCUGAGCCGGGUGCGGGGCCGAGCCGGGUGCGGUGCUGAGCCGGGUGCGGGGCCGAGCCGGGUGCGGGGCCGAGCCGGGUGCGGUGCCGAGCCGGGUGCGGUGCUGAGCCGGGUGCGGGGCCGAGCCGGGUGCGGUGCUGAGCCGGGUGCGGGGCCGAGCCGGGUGCGGGGCCGAGCCGGGUGCGGGGCUGAGCUCAGUGCGGUGCUGAGCCGGGUGCGGGGCCGAGCUCGGUGCGGGGCCGAGCUCGGUGCGGGGCCGAGCUCAGUGCGGGGCCGAGCCGGGUGCGGGGCUGAGCCGGGUGCGGGGCCGAGCUCGGUGCGGUGCUGAGCCGGGUGCGGGGCUGAGCCGGGUGCGGGGCCGAGCUCGGUGCGGUGCUGAGCCGGGUGCGGGGCCGAGCCGGGUGCGGGGCUGAGCUCGGUGCGGGGCUGAGCCGGGUGCGGGGCCGAGCCGGGUGCGGGCGCCGGGAGCAGCGGGCGCGCUGCGGGCAAGGCUGACUCGCCUGCUCAGAGGGACGAGCGGCGACUCGGGGCCGGGAGAGCUGGUGCCGUGCCCAGGACAGCGCUGAGCGCCCCGGGUGGGACAUCGCCGGGGCACACACACCGCAUGGAGGGCGGAACACCGCACAAAGCAAACGAGCUCCGGGGGAGGGAACCACAGAGUCACAGAAUGUCCUGGGCUGGAAGGACCCACAGAUCAUCAGUUCCAGCUCCUGUCCCUGCACAGGACACCCCACAGGUCACCCCGUGUGUCUGAGGACGGUGUCCAGUCUCUUGAACACUGUCAGGUUGGGCUGUGACCCCUCCCUGGGGAGCCUGUUCAGUGUCCAGCCCCUCUGGGGAAGAACCUUUUCCCCAUGUCCACUGACCCCCCAGCACAUCUGCUGCCGUUCCCUGGCUCUGUCACUGUCACCGAGCAGAGCUCAGCCUGCCCCUCCUGCUCCUGCUGAGGAACCUGCAGCCCAUGAGCUCUGCGCUCAGUCUGCUCUGCUCCGGCUGAGCAAACCAGGGACUGCAGCCGCUGCUCACACGGCUUCACUCCAAACCUUCACUGACUUCAUGGCCUCCCUGGACACCCUCCAGCAGCUUCAUCUCCUUUUUAUGCCGUGGUGCCCAGAACAAGAAGCCCUGCGGUGCUGCACCAGCUUGGCGCAGCUGCUCCGCAGCAGACCCAGGGCACGCAGCCGAGUGCCGCGGCCCAUCACGGAAAGUUACUGUCAGAACUGGAGGAGGGAUGCUAAAGCAGCCAGGCCCUGCGGCCAUAAUGGUGUGGGGAGGAACCCCAGGAGAGCACCCUGUGGAACAGCACGAGAGCUGCUGAUGCAGCCUGGGACAGGGAGGAAGACAGAGGGACAGAGAGGGAUGAAGAACAGGGAGGAAGACUAAAAGAAAGACAGGGAGAGAAAACAGGGCACAGAGAUGGGAUAAAGAGGGAUGGGGACAAGGACUGAAGGACAGAGAGAGAGGGACAGGAGUGGCGUGCAGGAAUAUAGAUAUAUAUACAGAUAGAGAGAUAGAGCCCCUUUCCACUGUGUCCUGGGGUAGGUGUUAGGCAGGGUUUUUAAAUGAUCCUUGAGGAUGCGACAUCGCCGCUGUCACCCGCAUGGUGGCCUGAGGAAGGGGAUACAGGCAAAGGAUUUCAGAGGCUGGUGGGACACGGACGUGCCCUCACCGCACACACCCACAGCCGCAGGGCGAGUCCCCAAACCUGGGCAGGCGCAGGAGGCCUCGUCCCCACUUCUUCCACGAGCGCCCUCGUGCACGCCGGAGCCCGUCCCUCGGCCGGGGCCGCGGCCUUGGUGCAGGCCCGGGGCUGCGCUGCCACGAGCGCCGCUCCUGGGACAGCGGCUCAGGGCGCUCCAGCACCCGCGGCUCCGUGGCGGGACGCUGCGGUCCCGGACGGCGUUGGGACGGUUCCAGAGCGCUCUGCCUCCCGGUGCACGAAGCCCUAACACACAGAGAUGUCACAACGGCAUUUAGAUGGGAACCGUCCCAGCACCAUCAGCACUGACAGCCAAGGAAGGACCAGUUUCCUACAGUGUCUGUUAAAAAAUAAAAAAUCAAACUCCGCUUACAAA